rnacentral:rRNA from 1 species
UACGGAGGGUGCAAGCGUUAUCCGGAUUUACUGGGUUUAAAGGGUGCGUAGGUGGGUAGGAAAGUCAGUGGUGAAAUCUUCGGGCUUAACCCGGAAACUGCCAUUGAUACUGGCGAUCUUGAGUCCGGGAGAGGUGAGUGGAACUGCGAGUGUAGAGGUGAAAUUCGUAGAUAUUCGCAAGAACACCAGUGGCGAAGGCGGCUCACUGGCCCGGUACUGACGCUGAGGUGCGAAAGCGUGGGGAGCAAACAGG